rnacentral:rRNA from 1 species
UACGGAGGGUGCAAGCGUUAUCCGGAUUCACUGGGUUUAAAGGGUGCGUAGGUGGGUAGGUAAGUCAGUGGUGAAAUCUUCGAGCUUAACUCGGAAACUGCCAUUGAUACUAUUUAUCUUGAAUACUUUGGAGGUAAGCGGAAUAUGUCAUGUAGCGGUGAAAUGCUUAGAUAUGACAUAGAACACCAAUUGCGAAGGCAGCUUGCUACACAGUUAUUGACACUGAGGCACGAAAGCGUGGGGAUCAAACAGG